AUUGAACGCUGGCGGCAUGCCUUACACAUGCAAGUCGAACGGUAACGGGCCUUCGGGUGCCGACGAGUGGCGAACGGGUGAGUAAUACAUCGGAACGUGCCCGAUCGUGGGGGAUAACGAGGCGAAAGCUUUGCUAAUACCGCAUACGAUCUACGGAUGAAAGCAGGGGACCGCAAUGCCUUGCGCGGACGGAGCGGCCGAUGGGAGAUUAGGGUGUUGGGGGGAUAAAAGCUUACCAAGCCGACGAUCUGUAGCUGGUCUGAGAGGAUGAUCAGCCACACUGGGACUGAGACACGGCCCAGACUCCUACGGGAGGCAGCAGUGGGGAAUUUUGGACAAUGGGCGCAAGCCUGAUCCAGCCAUGCCGCGUGCAGGAUGAAGGCCUUCGGGUUGUAAACUGCUUUUGUACGGAACGAAAAGCCUUCUUUUAAUACAGGAGGGUCAUGACGGUACCGUAAGAAUAAGCACCGGCUAACUACGUG
rnacentral:rRNA from 1 species